rnacentral:sRNA from 1 species
AGGAAAGGCACUAACUCUCAAAAUACUAAAGAGGACCGACAAGGCCACGAGUGUUUUCUCCCCACCCGAUAACAACAUUAAGUUAGCGACAUUUUUGCCAGGCGGAUUAGCAAACACUUCUAUGCCUGACAACAAGACGUUAUCAGUAUCCGUGUAGCGAAUUUGACACGAACCACCGCCAAAGAGGUAGUUAAAGGUUUUAGGUAGUUCUGCAUUAACUUUUUGGAUGAGCUCGUCAAAUUCCUUGCAGGCCAAUUCAUCAAUUUCACCAAUCGCGGUUUGCAAAUCCUUAAUCGCCGUUUGCAGUGAUUCAUACUCACCGUUAAUGUCAUCAAAGCGCUUUUGCUUAUCAGCAAUUUCAGCAAUCGACUCCAGGUUAAUUGGACCCAUUUCAUCGAGUUGGCUCUGCAUCCUGGCAAUCUUGUUUUGCGCUUGCAUGGUGGAGAGCUUAAUUGGUUUGUUAUAGUUAGCGAUCGCAAACUCCAUCGUUAGUUUAUACCCACCGUUAAUCUUGUCGGUAAUGUUGUGGAUUGUGUUUUCAAAGCGGAUUUUGCCUUCGCGUGCCAA